AUCAUUGACCAUAUAAUCAUUCGUAUAUUCCUGAAGAUAAGGUUCAGGAGUCUCUACCAGGGAACCGUAAAGUCCCGGCUACGGAUAGGAUGCUUUUCGCA
rnacentral:ncRNA from 2 species